GAAAUGCGAUAAGUAAUGUGAAUUGCAGAAUUCAGUGAAUCAUCGAAUCUUUGAACGCACAUUGCGCCCGCCAGUAUUCUGGCGGGCAUGCCUGUUCGAGCGUCAUUUCAACCAUCAAGCCCCCGGCUUGUGUUGGGGACCUGCGGCUGCCCGCAGGCCCUGAAAAACAGUGUCGGGCUCGCUGUCACACCGAGCGUAGUAGCAUACAUUCUCGCUCAGGGCGUGCUGCGGGUUCCGGCCGUUAAACGACCUUCAUAACCCAAGGUUGACCUCGGAUCAGGUAGGAAGACCCGCUGAACUUAAGC
rnacentral:misc_RNA from 1 species